rnacentral:rRNA from 1 species
AUACGUAGGGGGCAAGCGUUAUCCGGAUUUACUGGGUGUAAAGGGAGCGUAGACGGAAGGCCAAGUCUGAUGUGAAAGCCCGCGGCUCAACUGCGGGACUGCAUUGGAAACUGGUCAUCUGGAGUGCAGGAGGGGUAAGCGGAAUUCCUAGUGUAGCGGUGAAAUGCGUAGAUAUUAGGAGGAACACCGGUGGCGAAGGCGGCUUUCUGGACUGGAACUGACGUUGAGGCUCGAAAGCGUGGGUAACAAACAGGAUUAGAUUCCCUGGUAGUCCACGCCGUAAACGAUGAAUACUAGGUGUCGGGUUUCUAUAGAGAUUCGGUGCCGCAGCAAACGCAAUAAGUAUUCCACCUGGGGAGUACGUUCGCAAGAAUGAAACUCAAAUGAAUUGACGGGG